UACGUAGGGUGCGAGCGUUAAUCGGAAUUACUGGGCGUAAAGCGUGCGCAGGCGGUUCGUUGUGUCGGCGGUGAAAGCCCCGGGCUCAACCUGGGAAUGGCAUUGGGAACUGGCUCGCUGGAGUGUGGCAGAGGGGGGUGGAAUUCCGCGUGUAGCAGUGAAAUGCGUAGAGAUGCGGAGGAACACCGAUGGCGAAGGCAGCCCCCUGGGCUAACACUGACGCUCAGGCACGAAAGCGUGGGGAGCAAACAGG
rnacentral:rRNA from 1 species